rnacentral:lncRNA from 1 species
GCCCCGCGGGAGCCGACACCGGCUCUGGGCCUGGAGGUCUCUCUCGGAGGACUUCUACCGCCGAGAGCCCGACUGCUUCAGCGGAGACUGCUCAAAAGCAGCGUUUCACCCCUCCAGCCCUUUCCAACCCCCCCCGCUCCCGCAGGGCCACAUCCAACUUUCGCCACCAUCCCAGGUAGUUUCAGUUCGCUAAGGAGCUCAGCGUUUCCUUGUCUCUGAUGGCCUCAUGCGGUUAGCGCAGCUGCCGAGCGUCCCCACCGGGGCUGGCAGCGCCCCAGCAGCUGCGGAAACAUCCUGGGCUCUCUGAGCUGCCCCGGCGCGGUGCAAAUGAGACGUUGGGCAACACUUGUCUCCCCCAGCAGCAACUGACCCUGGUCCAGGAGAUGGACGAAGCAAAGGAGAAGCUGUCUGAGUUUGAGCAAGCAUCGCAGGCGCUGCUGGCCGAGCUCUCGGCGCUGGAGACAGAGUUCGAGAUCGAGAAAACGUGUCGCCAGCAAGCCGAAGCGUACGCAGCCCAGGUGAAACGGGAGAACACGAAACUCAAGCGGCUCAGCCUGGCCCUGCUGCCCACCGUGGGCCAGCUCCCCGAGGAGGUGGCCAACGCGGCCAACGAGGAGGAGCCCGGCCCCGACCCUGCCCAGCACUGCGGGCAGCAGCUCCGAGGCCGGCAAGAGAGGAUCUCCUGGCUGCUGGUGGAGAAGAAGGAUCUCGCGGCUGAGGUUCAGGAGCUGCAGAGGCGGAACCGAGAGCUGCAGGAGCAGGUACCACCCGGCAGCCCCCUUCCCACUCCCGGCCACCCCGGGAUGCCCACGGCCUCGCCAGGGCUCGGCUCCGGGACGCCCCGGCCGAGCGCACCCAUCUCCUGGGCAGCCUUUGCUCAGAGCCGGUCCCCUCCUUGCCAGCUCCUGGCCACCCGAGCUG